GAUUGUGCUAGCUAGGAGCUAGGCCCUUAUAAGAGUGCAUUGCAAAGAACUAGUCAUAUUACAAUGCAGCAUAUAGCCAUGUAGGAAAGGGAGGCAUUUGGAACCACAAUAUUUGAGCACACUCUGGUUCACUCUCUACCAAAAAUGUAUCCGGUGCUGGUAUGGGGAGUUGAUCUGUGCUUGCAGUGGUACAUAGGUCUAGUCUAGGGGCUCAAUGCAAGAUAUCCUGGGUAUCACAACCUCUAUGCUUGGAUCUGACCGUCGUUUCACCAUCCGAUUGUCAAGAACAUUAGAAAGCAAGAUAGCACACAGCGAGAGAUUGGUGAGGAAGGAGCGGAUACAUUCUGCGACAAUUAGAAUCAUCUUCUUCAAGGAGCAAAUGUGACACCGAUUCCCUAGCCACAAGGACGAUCUUCUAAGUCUGUAAUUUCAGUACAAAAUUGGGCCAAAAUUUAAUUGUGAUUCAACUUCCAAUUGAAUGGAAAUUUAACCUUUCUAGAUGGGGAACUAGGGAGAAGAGAAAAGCUCAAAUCAUAUAUUCACAGUGGAGGUUCUAGCUGGACGUCCACAGACUGGUGGGGAGCUGCAGGCUGCGGCGCUGCCAACGUGUCUGUGUGGGAAGAACGUACGCAUGCCGGAAGGGAUGCAUGAGGUUGUGGGGCUGUUUGCCCUCUGCCCAAGUAGGAAGACUGCCUGACUUACACCUCGAGUGUGGGGCUGCGGGUCUAAAUUAAGAGGGUGUAACUAGUGUUAUCAGGCCAUGUCCCUACUGGCCCUAGGCCUGGUUCCACCCCCGACUAGGUUCCAUUCUCCAUGUGCAUUCACUGCUGCUAUACAUGUAACUUUUAUGAGCGAAAAGUCUAAGCUGAUAGAUUACUAGAG